rnacentral:pre_miRNA from 1 species
CAGAUACUCCCUCCGAUCCAUAUUAAUUGUCUCAAAUUUGCCCAAAUUUGGAUGUAUCUAUGCUUAAAAAGCGUCUAGAUACAUGUAAUAUUUCGACAAUUAAUAUGGAUCGGAGGGAGUACACU